GAUCAUUUAUCAAAUAAACAUAACAAAACUGGUAAAUAAACGUUGCUAACAUGUUUAUUUAAAUUUAAUUAUAAUCAUUUAAUGGAGGUUUAAAUUGCUGGGAUAAUAUUGAUCCAGAGAAAAAAUUUGAAAAUACUAGAAGGGUUAAAUGACGAUGAAAUUUCCAACAACCAAACCUGGUUCCACCCAUUGGUUUUUACUUCUCUAUUGUGUCAGUGGUUCAUUUAACAAGUCAUACCUUCAGUUCUGCUUGUUCUGGUAAACUAAUAGAGCUGUAGAAGUGCUGUAGAAGUGAUUUAUUUUCUAAUUAAAUAGAUAGUAUUUCUGUACUUCUGCAUAACUUCAACACAUUAGCAUUGAUCUGGUGCAUAUAAAACAUUGAAACUGCAACUACAUAUAUUUUUAUUUCCAAAAUCAUUAGGCCAUUUCCGAAGACAUACAUGGCACUUACAGUUCAACACUGGGUUAAAGAAAAGACAGCCCAUGUGGUCAGCGCUGUGACGCAGAUGAAGAAGCUGCAGGCCAGAAAAUACAAGGAUGCUGUUCUGUUCACUGACCCUGCUGCAGAUACUGAUGACAUGGCAGAGGCUAAACAGAGAGCUCUUCUUGAUCAGCGCCAUCUAGAGACGUACCACAGGAUUCACCGGCUGAGGGACAGACUGUACCAGCACUACUCUGAGUUACUGACAGAGAAGAUCCAGAGACAGAGGCAGGAGCUGAAGAUGCAUCAUGACUCAGCUUCCCAGAAAAACACAGAAAAUGACACUGAACAGAGAAAAAGAAAACCACCCGUCCAGAAGCUCAUAGCUUCAACCCUCAAGCAUGAUGAUGCGUAUCUGGCUGCUUUACCUAAAACACGCUAUUAUCUGAUCCUGGAGCUUCAGAGGCUCCUGGCCCAGCGUGGGUGUCUGCAGGGUCCCAGGGAGCAGGAGGUGUUCCAGCACUGGGUGGACCAGGCCAAAACAGCACAACUGGAGAAACAGCUACAGCAGAUCGUGCUUCGCAGCAAGUCAGCUCCAGUGCUGACGGUGGAAGACUUGCUAAAGAAGAAGAAGAAGAAGAAGAAGAUGCCGGAACAUCUCCCACAGAUACAGGUCUCAACUGAAGAGAGCUCAACCCAACAGAAGCAUCAGACUGCAGUCUCAGAGAGUGCAUCAGGAGCGUUAGCUGUCUCUCCUCGUCUCUACAGCAAGCAGAUUCAGAACCAAACUGAGCUGAAGUUUCCCAGCGUCUUCUCACAGGAGCUCAGAGUGCCCAGGUUCUCCACUCUACAGCCCAGAUUUCUGGAGACCUUCAAGACCAACCCUCUUCUUCUGAGAGUGAAGGAGGCACCUCACCAAUCGAAAGCUGCAGUCGUGACCCAACACCAGCUUCGCCUGAUGCACAGCCUCUCCCUGUCUCACAUCGCUCACACACACAGACUGCUGGACAAAACGGGACUUGCUCUUCAUCGUGAUACAGGAUACAGCAUCAGCGACCUGUUGGAGCAUGUGUGUCCAAACAAAAUCUCAAUUAAAGAACCGAGAUGUUCAACACAGCCUCUUCUCCCACCACUGCAGUCUCUGGAAGAUCACUCCAAAACUGAACUUCCAAAACCUUCUAUGGAGGACACAGUCACUCCAUCCCACCAGGCAAGCAGCAGGAAACAGACUGACGACUCUGCGUUAAGCUACGAUAAAGCUCCGAACUCCUCCAGCUCAGAUGUUCCUCUGUCCAUGGAGGACAUUCACUCUCCGAGUAUUUCAUUGGCUAAAGACCCUGAUGACAAGACCUGGACCAAUUAUGUGUCUUAAAGUCAGCACUUUCAGCACUGCUCUGACCCCUUUUAAGAUAAAGAGGCUUUUUUAUACUAAAUUGUGUUUUUCUUGUUGCUUUUGUAACAUUAGAGACUUCUACUAAAAUAUAUCUUUAAGUGUAACUCACAAAUUAUGUAUAUACUUCUGAUAAAUUUGACUCAAUUUAAUCAAAUGCCACUUCAGCAACUGUAAUAUGUACUUUAAAUGUGUUUAUUUAGUUUAUAAAUUUAUAUGAAACAUAUAUUUUAUUAUGUUUCAGAGUCUGAUAUAUGUAAUAUUUGCA
rnacentral:lncRNA from 1 species